rfam:Oryctolagus cuniculus chromosome 12, whole genome shotgun sequence.
GGAGCUGUGGCUCAGCGGGUUAAAGCCCUGGCCUGCAGUGCCAGCAUCCUAUAUAGACGCUGGUUCGAGUCCUGGCUGCUCUA